ACUGUCAGGGCAGCACUAUCAGCGCGUACUGCCGCCUAUAAUGCUGGGAUUUCUACGGGGGACAUGAUGGACUACAAAGUGGCUGCUUAUGGCCUGAGGAAGACCGUUAAAGCUGCAAAGUGCAGAUAUAAAGACAGAGUGGAAACCGACUUCAACGCAGGCGACCCCGCUAAUGUGUGGAAGGGCCUGCGAAUAAUGACAGACUUUAAGAAUAAGCCCAGCUCGGUGUGUAGCUCUGACCCCUCCCUUGCUGAUGAACUCAACACUUUCUUUGCACGGUUUGAGAUGGAGAGCGGAAACCAUAACUCAUUGGCAGUCAUGGCCGACAUGAUUACCAAUAACACCGAACCCCCCUUCAUAGUCAGUGAGAGUGAUGUGAGGAGGGUGUUCAAAGGGGUAAAUGGGAAAAAGGCUGCCGGGCCUGACCAGAUCCCUGAGAGGGUCCUUAAAUCCUGUGCUGAUCAACUAGCUCCAGUGUACACCAUGAUCUUUAAUACAUCCCUGGCCCAAGCUGUCGUCCCAUCUUGCUUCAAAAAGUCAAUCAUUGUACCGGUGCCCAAAAAUAGUUUACCAUCAUGUUUGAACGAUUACCGUCCAGUGGCCCUGACAUCUGCAGUGAUGAAGUGUUUUGAAAGGCUGGUGAAAAAUUACAUCUGCACCUCCCUGCCCAACUCGUUCGACCCCCUCCAGUUUGCAUACAAAGCAAACAGAAGCAGAGACGAUACCAUCUCCAACCUGCUACACACCACUCUUACUCACCUGGAUGGUGGGGGGGGGGAACUAUGUGAGGAUGAUGUUCAUUGAUUACAGUUCAGCUUUCAACACCAUAGUCCCCCUCCGCCUGAUUGUCAAGAUGAGGUCGCUGGGGAUCACCACCCAAAUGUGCAACUGGGUGCUCAGCUUCCUCACUGACCGCCCCCAGGUGGUGAGAGUAGAGGGUGGUGUAACCUCUGGACCGCUGACCCUCAACAUAGGUUCCCCCCAGGGGUGCGUUCUGAGCCCGCUGCUGUAUAACAUCUACACCUAUGACUGCACAGCCUCCGGAAGCUCAACCUCCAUCAUUAAAUUUGCC
rnacentral:lncRNA from 1 species